rnacentral:rRNA from 1 species
AGAGUUUGAUCAUGGCUCAGAUUGAACGCUGGCGGCAGGCCUAACACAUGCAAGUCGAACGGUAACAGGAAACAGCUUGCUGUUUCGCUGACGAGUGGCGGACGGGUGAGUAAUGUCUGGGAAACUGCCCGAUGGAGGGGGAUAACUACUGGAAACGGUAGCUAAUACCGCAUAAUGUCGCAAGACCAAAGAGGGGGACCUUAGGGCCUCUUGCCAUCGGAUGUGCCCAGAUGGGAUUAGCUAGUAGGUGGGGUAACGGCUCACCUAGGCGACGAUCCCUAGCUGGUCUGAGAGGAUGACCAGCCACACUGGAACUGAGACACGGUCCAGACUCCUACGGGAGGCAGCAGUGGGGAAUAUUGCACAAUGGGCGCAAGCCUGAUGCAGCCAUGCCGCGUGUAUGAAGAAGGCCUUCGGGUUGUAAAGUACUUUCAGCGGGGAGGAAGGGAGUAAAGUUAAUACCUUUGCUCAUUGACGUUACCCGCAGAAGAAGCACCGGCUAACUCCGUGCCAGCAGCCGCGGUAAUACGGAGGGUGCAAGCGUUAAUCGGAAUUACUGGGCGUAAAGCGCACGCAGGCGGUUUGUUAAGUCAGAUGUGAAAUCCCCGGGCUCAACCUGGGAACUGCAUCUGAUACUGGCAAGCUUGAGUCUCGUAGAGGGGGGUAGAAUUCCAGGUGUAGCGGUGAAAUGCGUAGAGAUCUGGAGGAAUACCGGUGGCGAAGGCGGCCCCCUGGACGAAGACUGACGCUCAGGUGCGAAAGCGUGGGGAGCAAACAGGAUUAGAUACCCUGGUAGUCCACGCCGUAAACGAUGUCGACUUGGAGGUUGUGCCCUUGAGGCGUGGCUUCCGGAGCUAACGCGUUAAGUCGACCGCCUGGGGAGUACGGCCGCAAGGUUAAAACUCAAAUGAAUUGACGGGGGCCCGCACAAGCGGUGGAGCAUGUGGUUUAAUUCGAUGCAACGCGAAGAACCUUACCUGGUCUUGACAUCCACGGAAGUUUUCAGAGAUGAGAAUGUGCCUUCGGGAACCGUGAGACAGGUGCUGCAUGGCUGUCGUCAGCUCGUGUUGUGAAAUGUUGGGUUAAGUCCCGCAACGAGCGCAACCCUUAUCCUUUGUUGCCAGCGGUCCGGCCGGGAACUCAAAGGAGACUGCCAGUGAUAAACUGGAGGAAGGUGGGGAUGACGUCAAGUCAUCAUGGCCCUUACGACCAGGGCUACACACGUGCUACAAUGGCGCAUACAAAGAGAAGCGACCUCGCGAGAGCAAGCGGACCUCAUAAAGUGCGUCGUAGUCCGGAUUGGAGUCUGCAACUCGACUCCAUGAAGUCGGAAUCGCUAGUAAUCGUGGAUCAGAAUGCCACGGUGAAUACGUUCCCGGGCCUUGUACACACCGCCCGUCACACCAUGGGAGUGGGUUGCAAAAGAAGUAGGUAGCUUAACCUUCGGGAGGGCGCUUACCACUUUGUGAUUCAUGACUGGGGUGAAGUCGUAACAAGGUAACCGUAGGGGAACCUGCGGUUG